rnacentral:rRNA from 1 species
GAUGAACGCUAGCGAUAGGCCUAACACAUGCAAGUCGAGGGGCAGCAUAAGGAAGUAGCAAUACUUUCUGGUGGCGACCGGCGCACGGGUGAGUAACACGUAUGCAACCUGCCUUCAACAAGGGCAUAACCCGUUGAAAGACGGACUAAUACCCUAUAAUACAGGGGCCCCGCAUGGGGAUAUUUGUUAAAGAUUUAUCGGUUGAAGAUGGGCAUGCGUUCCAUUAGCUGGUUGGUGGGGUAACGGCCCACCAAGGCAACGAUGGAUAGGGGAACUGAGAGGUUUAUCCCCCACACUGGUACUGAGACACGGACCAGACUCCUACGGGAGGCAGCAGUGAGGAAUAUUGGUCAAUGGACGCAAGUCUGAACCAGCCACGUCGCGUGAAGGAAGACGGCCCUACGGGUUGUAAACUUCUUUUAUACGGGAAUAAAGUGCCCCACGUGUGGGGUUUUGCAAGUACCGUAUGAAUAAGGAUCGGCUAACUCCGUG